AUUGAACGCUGGCGGCAUGCUUUACACAUGCAAGUCGAACGCGGCCGAGGGGCAACUCUUGGCCGAGUGGCGAACGGGUGAGUAAUACAUCGGAACGUGUCCCGUUGUGGGGGAUAACCCAUCGAAAGGUGGGCUAAUACCGCAUACGCCCUGAGGGGGAAAGCGGGGGACCUGAGAGGGCCUCGCGCGAGGGGAGCGGCCGAUGUCGGAUUAGCUAGUAGGUUGGGUAAAGGCUGACCUAGGCGACGAUCCGUAGCUGGUCUGAGAGGAUGAUCAGCCACACUGGGACUGAGACACGGCCCAGACUCCUACGGGAGGCAGCAGUGGGGAAUUUUGGACAAUGGGGGCAACCCUGAUCCAGCCAUGCCGCGUGAGUGAAGAAGGCCUUCGGGUUGUAAAGCUCUUUCGGCCGGAACGAAAUCGCAUCUCCUAACACGGGGUGUGGAUGACGGUACCGGAAGAAGAAGCACCGGCUAACUACGUGCCAGCCGCCGCCGUAACAC
rnacentral:rRNA from 1 species